UACUCUCCCCUUUCCCUUUCCCUUCGCGAAAAAACCCUAGCCGCCAUAUUUUUUUUCUCUCUAUGCGCCAGCAUCCCAAAAUAGGUAAUGGCACAGUGUGCCUUCGCUUUGUACAGUCAUGGUUCGAUCAUUUGAGGUAAAAGAUUAAUGCCUCAUCUCCAAACGACGCCAAACGCGACCUUAUCACGAUAAGUUCAACUCUUUUCUCUCCAAUUUCUGCUUUACAACGGUCAAGUAACUGAAUUUCUUUAAUUCGGUUUGUUGUGUUGUGAUUUUGAAUCCUUGAUUUUAUUCGUUCAAUAGGAACCAAGAGGAUUAAUUUUAUUUAUCUUAAAUUUGACCUUUUAUCCAUUUGUAUACUCGAAUCUAGGCCAUUGAUGCUCAAGGUGAGACUUGAAAGUCACAAAUCUAAGCUUGUCCCAUAUCGAUUCGAAAUUAGGGUUUGGGGAUUCUAUAAAUAGGGUCCCAAUCCUCACUAUUUGGGAGGCGGGCAACUGAAAUUUCACUUGCAUACUCGAAAUACUUAAGUUUUGAGCAUUUUAGCUUUAAAGACUUUAAUAGUUCGAGUGAAUUUAAAUUUUAAAGUGUUUUGUUUUCUGUUUUCUUGUGUUGAUUCUGUGGCCGAGUGUUGGGGUUGAGGAAGCAAGUUUCUACCAAGUCUAAUCUCUUCCAAGGCUGCGCAUCAAAGAGAGGUCAACUCUCCUUAUUUUGAUCGAGUCCAUGAGAAAAAUGGCAGGGGAAGCUACUAUUGUUCAAGCCCAGCUAUGGGUGAAAAUAGCUAACUGGUGGGCUUAGAUAGGCCCACCAGCCCAAACUCUCCCUUUAUAUUCAUUUUGUGUAAAAUUGUAUUUGUAAAAGAAUGCUUGAAAUUAUUGGAACCCAUAUGUAUGUUAGGACCUAGGAAACACCCAGUAAGUUAAGAAGGUUGCCACAACAAGUUAAUUUUCUAAAAAAAAAAAAAGGCCAAUAACCAUCUUUUAACUGAAAUAGUUUUAAAA